rnacentral:rRNA from 1 species
UGAAUUGACGGGACCCGCCACAAGCGGUGGAUUAUGUUGUUUAAUUCGACGCAACGCGAAGAACCUUACCAGGCCUUGACAUACUCGGCAAAGCUCUAGAGAUAGAGUGGAGGUUAUCCGGGAUACAGGUGGUGCAUGGUUGUCGUCAGCUCGUGUCGUGAGAUGUUGGGUUAAGUCCCGCAACGAGCGCAACCCUUGUCUUUAGUUACCAUCAUUCAGUUGGGCACUCUAGCGAGACUGCCGGUAAUAAACCGGAGGAAGGUGGGGAUGACGUCAAAUCAUCAUGCCCCUUAUGACCUGGGCUACACACGUGCUACAAUGGUUGGUACAACGAGUUGCGAGUCGGUGACGGCGAGCUAAUCUCUUAAAGCCAAUCUCAGUUCGGAUUGUAGGCUGCAACUCGCCUACAUGAAGUCGGAAUCGCUAGUAAUCGCGGAUCAGCACGCCGCGGUGAAUACGUUCCCGGGCCUU